GGCUCCCAGCGUGCACUGCGCUCGAGCGCGGUCCCCCGGACUGACGGCCAGCCCUGCGGAUGGACGGGCCGUGUGCCCUGUCGCCCUGCGCCUGCUGAACUCCGAGCACCCGAGGAUGUCUGCGCUGAGGAAGGUCUGUAUGAGCUGUUGGCUGUUGUGCAGGCUGGCUGGGGCCACGUGUGGACAGCCAGGAAGACCUGACCUUCCUCUGGGAUAUGUUUGGUGAGAAAAGCCUGCAUUCACCGGUAAAGAAGUUACUCGUCGAGCACCAUUUUCCUUUAGAUCUUCACAAUAUCCUGGGUAGCCUUAGGUUGUGAGGUGGAAGUCUCUACUCUUCUGUGGCUGCUGUGGCCAAGACUUCCAAUACUGUGUUAGCAUCCUCGCCUUGUUCCUGAUGUUAAGCAGGAAGCUUUUCCCUGUUGAGCAUGAUGCUAGCUGUGCACUGGUCAUACGUGGCCUUACAUUUUGAGAUUUUAUUUAUUUAGUCGUGAGAGAGGCAGACACACAGGCAGAGGGAGAAGCAGGCUCCAAGCAGGGAGCCCAACAAGGGACUUGAUCCCAGGACCUCGACCCAGGCCACCUGCGUCUUCUUGAAUGGCAUUUUUAGUAAGCAAAGAAUGCUAG